rnacentral:tRNA from 1 species
UAUAGCUCAUUUGUAGAGCAUUCGACUGCAGAUCGAGUGGUCCCCGGUUCAAACCCGGGAGAA